GAUGAAUGCUGGCGGCGUGCCUAACACAUGCAAGUCGAGCGGCAGCGCGAGUAGUUUACUACUUGGCGGCGAGCGGCGGACGGCUGAGUAACGCGUGGGAACGUGCCCCAAAGUGAGGGAUAACGCACCGAAAGGUGUGCUAAUACCGCAUAUGGUCUUCGGAUUAAAGAAUUUAUUCGCUUUGGGAGCGGCCCGCGUCGGAUUAGGUAGUUGGUAGGGUAAUGGCCUACCAAGCCGACGAUCCGUAGCUGGUCUGAGAGGAUGAUCAGCCAGACUGGAACUGAGACGCGGUCCAGACUCCUACGGGAGGCAGCAGUGAGGAAUCUUCCACAAUGGGCGAAAGCCUGAUGGAGCAACGCCGCGUGCAGGAUGAAGGCCUUCGGGUUGUAAACUGCUUUUAUAAGUGAAGAAUAUGACGGUAACUUAUGAAUAAGCACCGGCUAACUACGUGCCAGCCGCCGCUGUAA
rnacentral:rRNA from 1 species